rnacentral:rRNA from 1 species
AGGACGAACGCUGGCGGCGUGCUUAACACAUGCAAGUCGAGCGGAAAGGCCCUUCGGGGUACUCGAGCGGCGAACGGGUGAGUAACACGUGAGCAACCUGCCCCUAGCUCUGGGAUAGCUCCGGGAAAACCGGGAUUAAUACCAGAUACAACCACUUUAGACAUCUGUUGUGGUGGAAAGGAUUCUGGCUAGGGAUGGGCUCGCGGCCUAUCAGCUUGUUGGUGGGGUAACGGCCUACCAAGGCGACGACGGGUAGCCGGCCUGAGAGGGCGACCGGCCACACUGGGACUGAGACACGGCCCAGACUCCUACGGGAGGCAGCAGUGGGGAAUAUUGCGCAAUGGGCGAAAGCCUGACGCAGCGACGCCGCGUGGGGGAUGAAGGCCUUCGGGUUGGUAAACCCCUUUCAGCAGGGACGAAGCGAAAGUGACGGUACCUGCAGAAGAAGCGCCGGCUAACUACGCGCCAGCAGCCGC